rnacentral:rRNA from 1 species
AGCUCCAAUAGCGUAUAUUUAAGUUGUUGCAGUUAAAAAGCUCGUAGUUGGAUUUCGGGUGGGUUCUACCGGUCCGCCUCUGGUGUGUAUUGGUAGAGCCCAUCUUUCUGCCGGGGACGGCUUCCUGCGCUUAACUGUGUGGGAGUCGGAGUCGGCGAUGAUACUUUGAGAAAAUUAGAGUGUUCAAAGCAAGCCUACGCUCUGAAUAUAUUAGCAUGGAAUAUCACGAUAGGACUCUGGCCUAUCU